UCGGGAAUUUUGGGCAAUGGGGGAAACCCUGACCCAGCAACGCCGCGUGAAGGAUGAAGUAUUUCGGUAUGUAAACUUCGAAAGAAUGGGAAGAAUCAAUGACGGUACCAUUUAUAAGGUCCGGCUAACUACGUGCCAGCAGCCGCGGUAAUACGUAGGGACCAAGCGUUGUUCGGAUUUACUGGGCGUAAAGGGCGCGUAGGCGGCGUGACAAGUCACUUGUGAAAUCUCUGGGCUUAACCCAGAACGGCCAAGUGAAACUGUCGUGCUAGAGUGCAGAAGGGGCAAUCGGAAUUCUCGGUGUAGCGGUGAAAUGCGUAGAUAUCGAGAGGAACACCAGAGGUGAAGACGGGUUGCUGGGCUGACACUGACGCUGAGGCGCGAAAGCCAGGGGAGCAAACGGGAUUAGAUACCCCCGUAGUCC
rnacentral:rRNA from 1 species